ensembl:processed_transcript
AGAGCCUCGAGAGUGAAGGUAAAUUUUUUGAAAAGAGAAGUCCACUAUUUCAGCUUCAUAAUUCAGCCUGGAAACUGAACUGCACCAUAAAACUUGUGCUUGGUAUGUAUCAUUGUUUUAAAAUCCAAACAAAAUGUAUUGAUCCCAGCUUAAAGAAAAACAUGUGUCACAUCCAUAAAUGUUUGACAUCAUCUUCAAGCACACCUGGAUUCCUUGUUGCAAUGUCUUCAAAACAAAUGUAAAAAUGAAAGGAUUUCAGUGGUGAGCUCAUAAUGAUGGGAUCAAAAGGAAGUGAACUGGACUCUGAGGGACUUAACAGAAGAUUGUGAUGGACAUGGAAUGUGACACCGUUUACGAAUAAGUCAAGAACCAAAUGAAACGCACUAUUUUCCAGAGUACAGAUUAUGGAGGGGUCUGCAAAACUAAUAGAGCAGUUUCUUCUUAUUGGAAUGCCACAGCUUGAUGCUGCAUAUAAGGACUCCGUGAAGAACACAGAAACAUCUUUAAAAGAAAUGGCCCAAAAGAAGGGAAGGAAAGAAGGAAGUACUCAGCGUUGAAAUAUUGUUUUACAGAAAUCCAAAGGUCCUAACAGCUCUCCUGAUUCCGUCAAGGCUUGAAGUGUCAGCAUUACGAUGACCAACUCUCACUCACUAUCCUUCUGCUCCCUCAUUUAUCAGAGGCACCACAGUAGACUGAAUUAGCAAUUACUCUUCACUUUAUAGCCGCAACCCAGCACUGGGAAACACCCAUACACUCUCUCAUACACCUGCACACAUUCACUCACUGUGGCCAAUUCACCAAUACCGUACGCAUGCCUUUGGACUGU